AAAGGGCUCCAACUGCACCAACGAAAGGAAGACAGAAAAGGGGCAACAUCUACAGAGAACGGUCUGAUCAACACUGUGCUGUGGUUAUUAAUGACAGGCUUUAAUCCUAUACAAAGAGCGCGCGCACACACACACACACACACACACACACACACACACUGGAUUAAAUAAAACACACACACACACACACACACACACACACAC